rnacentral:tRNA from 1 species
AGUGAUAUGGCCGAGUAAUAGGCGGUAAACUGUAAAUUUAUUUACGAAAUCAAAUUUCUAUCACUA